UACGUAGGGUGCAAGCGUUAAUCGGAAUUACUGGGCGUAAAGAGCGCGCAGGCGGUCGUUCAAGUCGAGUGUGAAAGCCCCCGGCUCAACUGGGGAGGGUCACUCGAUACUGAUCGACUCGAAGGCAGAAGAGGGAAGCGGAAUUCCCGGUGUAGUGGUGAAAUGCGUAGAUAUCGGGAGGAACACCAGUGGCGAAGGCGGCUUUCUGGUCUGCUCUUGACGCUGAGGCGCGAAAGCUAGGGUAGCAAACGGG
rnacentral:rRNA from 1 species